AAGCCAGACGAGCUGUAAAACAUGAACGGAAGAGUGGAUUAUUUGGUCACUGAGGAAGAGAUCAAUCUUACCAGAGGGCCCUCAGUUGCUGAUUGUUGGAGGUUCUUUUGGUCUUCGUGAGUUUUCUCAAAUCCGAUAUGAUGCUGUGAAGAGUAAAAUGGAUCCUGAGCUUGAAAAAAAACUGAAAGAGAAUAAAAUAUCUUUAGAGUCGGAAUAUGAGAAAAUCAAAGACUCCAAGUUUGAUGACUGGAAGAAUAUUCGAGGACCCAGGCCUUGGGAAGAUCCUGACCUCCUCCAAGGAAGAAAUCCAGAAAGCCU
rnacentral:lncRNA from 1 species